rnacentral:lncRNA from 1 species
CACCGACUUUGUGCUGGUGCUCUCGGGGACGUGGGGAUAAACAACCUCCCGGGCAACCACAGCCUCCGUGGGAGAUAAGUUGCAUCUGCAGCUCCCUGGACCGGAAUUCUGCCAUGUCACACCUGAGUCUCUUCUGCAGUCUCC